GACGAACGCUGGCGGCAGGCCUAACACAUGCAAGUCGAGCGCCCCGCAAGGGGAGCGGCGGACGGGUGAGUAACGCGUGGGAACGUGCCCUUUGCUACGGAAUAGCCCCGGGAAACUGGGAGUAAUACCGUAUAAGCCCUACGGGGGAAAGAUUUAUCGGCAAAGGAUCGGCCCGCGUUGGAUUAGGUAGUUGGUGGGGUAAUGGCCUACCAAGCCGACGAUCCAUAGCUGGGUUGAGAGGAUGAUCAGCCACACUGGGACUGAGACACGGCCCAGACUCCUACGGGAGGCAGCAGUGGGGAAUCUUAGACAAUGGGCGCAAGCCUGAUCUAGCCAUGCCGCGUGAGCGAUGAAGGCCUUAGGGUUGUAAAGCUCUUUCGUGGGGGAAGAUAAUGACCGUACCCCAAGAAGAAGCCCCGGCUAACUCCGUGCCAGCCGCCGCCGUAAUAC
rnacentral:rRNA from 1 species